rnacentral:rRNA from 1 species
ACUCCUACGGGAGGCAGCAGUGGGGAAUUUUGGACAAUGGGCGAAAGCCUGAUCCAGCAAUGCCGCGUGAGUGAAGAAGGCCUUCGGGUUGUAAAGCUCUUUUGUCAGGGAAGAAACGGUGAGAGCUAAUAUCUCUUGCUAAUGACGGUACCUGAAGAAUAAGCACCGGCUAACUCCGUG